GCGAUAGAUAGAAAUCAAUUAGAGGAGGUUGGACUCCCAUUAUAAAACAUUGAAAGGACGCUUUUAUAAGGUGAUAUCAAUUGAAGAAUAAACCUCCAAGGGCAAAUUAAUGAUGAGAACUCAUCUUUAAUUGGCCAUCUUGUUGGUUUAUAUGAAUACAACUCCAUUAUAAAGGUAAGGCCCAUCCACAUUUUCUUUUGACUUCAUGGCAAGGCCCUCUUGAGCUAUAGGAUUCCAGAAGGCAAGGGGAGUUAUAAUAACAACUAAAAGAACAAUUUGUGCCUUUCUAAGUGAGCUAAAUGUCUUGCUUACACAUUUGCACACACAAUGUACAACAAGAAGUUCAAUGAUUGUGGGAAGCGAAAUAAGAACCACAAUGCCUGUUAAGAAUAACAAGUAUCUUUUCAAUCUCUUAAAAGUUUGAGAGUAACCUAUGCUUCAUUUUUCAUUUUAUAGUAAGAUGAUUUACAUUUCAUGUCUUCCCCACCAACUUUACAAACAUGAAUGUGUAAUACACUUGCUGAUUUAAGCAGUGAACUCUGGGGUUGAAAAUAAGACAUUAUUUUUGUGGUCAAAGUAGGCAUUAAACCAGCAUGUGUGAAUACAGCAGCCAUGAGCAGUUAGGAUUAAUACAAUGACAUUCAAGUGAUUGCGGCCAUGGAUAUCUAUUCUACACAUAAACCAGAUCGAUGUCUAUUACAGCAGAAUUUUCCAUACUCGGUCCUGGGACCCUCCCUGGGCGCACAUUUUGUUUUUUCCCCUAGCAUUACACAGCUGAUUUAUAAAAUCAGCUCAUCAUCAAGCUUUGAUUAUUUUUUUAAAUUACAGAUCCUGAAUGAGGUAGCUUCUUAGCAAUCACAAUGUUUUUCACCAUUACUUAGUGGCCUAUUCACCUAUUCAUCAUUGCUCCAUAUUCAUUUCCCCAAUGUAAUCAAAGUAAACUGUGAUUCUCAUGCCAGUUUUCCUCAAGGCCUAGACUAGACUGUACCUCUCCUUACUCCCCUCUCUGUCGCCAUCUAUUGGUGGGAGCAUAUUCAACUAAGCCCUGGAGCCCAGCUGAGGAAGAGUAGGAGAGCAACCCCAGCAGCAGCACAUCGUCCCCUCUCAGGAUAAUCUAUUCUUGUUCCCGCCAAUAUCCAGCAACUUCGCGCAGUCAUUGAAGAGGAGUGCGACAACAUUCCACAGGCCACAAUCAACAGCCUGAUCGACUCUAUGAGAAGGAGAUGUGUCGUGCUGCAUGAGGCAAAUGGUGGUCACCAGAUACAGGCUGGUUGUCUGAUCCUACCUGUCACGUCCUGACCAGUAAAAGGGGUUAUUUGUUAUUGUAGUUUGGUCAGGUCGUGGCAGGGGGUAUUUGUUUUAUGUGGUUCGGGCUGGUUGUGUUAGUAGUUGGGUGUUUGAUAUAUUAUUCCGGGUUUUGGGCACUGUUCUAUGUUAAUGUAUUUCUAUGUUUAGUCUAGUUAUUUUGUAUCUCUAUGUUAGGUUAUUUGGGGGUUGGACUCUCAAUUGGAGGCAGGUGUUUUCUAGUUGCCUCUGAUUGAGGGUCCUAUAAAUAGGUAUGUGUUUGUGUUAGUAUUUUGUGGGAGAUUGUUCUUGUUUAGCUAUGUGUGCCUGACAAGACUGUCAAGUUUGUUUUGUGUUUUUGUAUACGUUUUUGGUGUUUUUCCUUCUUCACGUUAAUAAAAGAAGAUGAGUGUACAUUUUCCCGCUGCGUCUUGGUCUCAACCCUACGACAACCGUGACACUACCUGUGACCAACAGAUGCAUAUCUAUAUUCC
rnacentral:lncRNA from 1 species